GUGCAGUCGAGCGGAUGAAGGGAGCUUGCUCCUGGAUUCAGCGGCGGCACGGGUGAGUAAUGCCUAGGAAUCUGCCUGGUAGUGGGGGAUAACGUCCGGAAACGGGCGCUAAUACCGCAUACGUCCUGAGGGAGAAAGUGGGGGAUCUUCGGACCUCACGCUAUCAGAUGAGCCUAGGUCGGAUUAGCUAGUUGGUGGGGUAAAGGCCUACCAAGGCGACGAUCCGUAACUGGUCUGAGAGGAUGAUCAGUCACACUGGAACUGAGACACGGUCCAGACUCCUACGGGAGGCAGCAGUGGGGAAUAUUGGACAAUGGGCGAAAGCCUGAUCCAGCCAUGCCGCGUGUGUGAAGAAGGUCUUCGGAUUGUAAAGCACUUUAAGUUGGGAGGAAGGGCAGUAAGUUAAUACCUUGCUGUUUUGACGUUACCAACAGAAUAAGCACCGGCUAACUUCGUGCCAGCAGCCGCGGUAAUACGAAGGGUGCAAGCGUUAAUCGGAAUUACUGGGCGUAAAGCGCGCGUAGGUGGUUCAGCAAGUUGGAUGUGAUAUCUUCGGGCUCAACCUGGGAACUGCAUCCAACACUACUGAGCUAGAGUACGGUAGAGGGUGGUGGAAUUUCCUGUGUAGCGGUGAAAUGCGUAGAUAUCGGAAGGAGCACGAGUGGCGAAGGCGACCACCUGGGCUGAUACUGACACUGAGGUGCGAAACGUGGGAGCAAACAGGAUUAGAUACCCUGGUAGUCCACGCCGUAUACGAUGUCUACUAGCUCUGGGAUCUUGAGAUCUUAGUCGCGCUCUAACGCGAUAAGU
rnacentral:rRNA from 1 species